GCAUAUCACAGCCUCAUGGUGCUUCUCAUUGUGAUAAGCAUGUUCUGGGGCUUCCUCAGCUUCUUGGUUCCCUGGUUCAUCCCUAAGAGUCUUAGCAGAGUAGUUAUCAUCACCAUAUUGGUGACCUGUUCAGUUUGUGCUAUCUCUUUUGGCUAGUUGCAAUUCUUUUUCAUUUCUGUCCUCUCUUUGGACCACAGUUGAAAAAUGAAACCAGCUGGUAUCUCAGGCAUCAUUGGCCUUGA
rnacentral:lncRNA from 1 species